rnacentral:rRNA from 1 species
AACGGCCACAUUGGGACUGAGACACGGCCCAGACUCCUACGGGAGGCAGCAGUGGGGAAUAUUGCACAAUGGGGGAAACCCUGAUGCAGCGACGCCGCGUGGAGGAAGAAGGUCUUCGGAUUGUAAACUCCUGUUGUUGAGGAAGAUAAUGACGGUACACAACAAGGAAGUGACGGCUAACUACGUGCCAGCAGCCGCGGUAAAACGUAGGUCACAAGCGUUGUCCGGAAUUACUGGGUGUAAAGGGAGCGCAGGCGGGCGAUCAAGUUGGAAGUGAAAUCCAUGGGCUCAACCCAUGAACUGCUUUCAAAACUGAUUGUCUUGAGUAGUGCAGAGGUAGGCGGAAUUCCCGGUGUAGCGGUGGAAUGCGUAGAUAUCGGGAGGAACACCAGUGGCGAAGGCGGCCUACUGGGCACCAACUGACGCUGAGGCUCGAAAGUGUGGGUAGCAAACAGGAUUAGAUACCCUGGUAGUCCACACCGUAAACGAUGAUUACUAGGUGUUGGAGGAUUGACCCCUUCAGUGCCGCAGUUAACACAAUAAGUAAUCCACCUGGGGAGUACGACCGCAAGGUUGAAACUCAAAGGAAUUGACGGGGGCCCGCACAAGCAGUGGAGUAUGUGGUUUAAUUCGACGCAACGCGAAGAACCUUACCAAGUCUUGACAUCCUGCGGCGAUGCUAGAAAUAGUAUUUUCCUUCGGGACGCAGAGACAGGUGGUGCAUGGUUGUCGUCAGCUCGUGUCGUGAGAUGUUGGGUUAAGUCCCGCAACGAGCGCAACCCUUAUGGUCAGUUACUACGCAAGAGGACUCUGGCCAGACUGCCGUUGACAAAACGGAGGGAGGUGGGGAUGACGUCAAAUCAUCAUGCCCUUUAUGACUUGGGCUACACACGUACUACAAUGGCGUUAAACAAAGAGAAGCAAGACCGCGAGGUGGAGCAAAACUCAGAAACAACGUCCCAGUUCGGACUGCAGGCUGCAACUCGCCUGCACGAAGUCGGAAUUGCUAGUAAUCGCAGAUCAGCAUGCUGCGGUGAAUACGUUCCCGGGCCUUGUACACACCGCCCGUCACACCAUGAGAGCCGGGGGGACCCGAAGUCGGUAGUCUAACCGCAAGGAGGACGCCGCCGAAGGUAAAACUGGUGAUUGGGGUGAAGUCGUAACAAGGUAGCCGUAGGAGAACCUGCGGCUG